AUGAGGAGCACGCGUUAGGCAUUGGACCUUGAAUGACUCGUGCGAGUUAUCCGCGUGUAAAUCAGUGAGCUACCACUCUUCUUCACAUCGUCCACUGGUUCGUUCCCUUCCAUACCCAAACAAAUACUAUAACCAACCCCGUUCGUCUCUGUAACCAAACAACCGCCCAACCAUAUUAACGAAGAUUCAAACCUCCUUUACUGCCAUCUCCACCACCACGGCCCCUAGCGGACCCGCCGACGCCGACUGUCUCAUAGUCUCCGAAGCUUCUAGAGAGUGUGUGUGUGUGAGAGAG
rnacentral:misc_RNA from 1 species